AAGCGGUGGAGCAUGUGCUUUUAAUUCGAUGCUACGCGAAGAACCUUACCUGGGUUUGACAUGGGGCUGAAAGUCUCCAGAGAUGGAAGCCUUUCCUUCGGGAACACCCCACACAGGUGCUGCAUGGUUGUCGUCAGCUCGUGUCGUGAGAUGUUGGGUUAAGUCCCGCAACGAGCGCAACCCCUGCCCUUAGUUGCCAUCAGGUAAAGCUGGGAACUCUAAGGGGACAGCUUGGUAUAACCAGGAGGAAGGUGGGGAUGACGUCAAAUCAUCAUGGCUCUUACGCCCAGGGCUAGACACGUGCUACAAUGGCAGGUACAGUGGGAUGCCAACCUGCGAAGGUGAGCUAAUCCCUUAAACCUGUCUCAGUCCGGAUUGGAGUCUGCAACUCGACUCCAUGAAGUUGGAAUCGCUAGUAAUCGCGGAUCAGCAUGCCGCGGUGAUACGUUCCCGGGCCUUGUACACACCGCCCGUCAAGCCAUGAAAGGCGGUAGUACCCGAAGUCGCGUACCCAACCGUAAGGAGGGAAGCGCCGAAGGUAAGACUG
rnacentral:rRNA from 1 species